AGCACCUCAUCCAAGGCGCUUUAGCUAGCAGCGCUCCGGUUCAGGCAAAGGCUGAUUUUUACGAAUACUAUGAGGUCGUGACGAAAUCGCUCAGCAGACAUAGUGAAAAAUGCGUUGAGAGCGUCAAAACUGCAUUUACGUCGGUAGAGGAAUUAUGGCCACACAAGGCGGUCCAGAUGAACUUAAACGUCUCUUCAA